rnacentral:tRNA from 1 species
GGGGAUUUAGCUCAAUGGUAGAGCGCUUGCCUAAAGCACAAGACCCUGGGUUCAGUCCCCA